rnacentral:rRNA from 1 species
GACGAACGCUGGCGGCGUGCCUAAUACAUGCAAGUCGAACGAGAGCGACCGGUGCUUGCUCUGGUCAAUCUAGUGGCGAACGGGUGAGUAACACGUGGGUAACCUGCCCAUCAGAGGGGGAUAACAUCCGGAAACGGAUGCUAAAACCGCAUAGGUCUUCGAGCCGCAUGGCUUGAAGAGGAAAAGAGGCGCAAGCUUCUGCUGAUGGAUGGACCCGCGGUGCAUUAGCUAGUUGGUGAGGUAACGGCUCACCAAGGCCGUGAUGCAUAGCCGACCUGAGAGGGUGAUCGGCCACAUUGGGACUGAGACACGGCCCAAACUCCUACGGGAGGCAGCAGUAGGGAAUCUUCCGCAAUGGACGCAAGUCUGACGGAGCAACGCCGCGUGAGUGAAGAAGGUUUUCGGAUCGUAAAACUCUGUUGUUAGAGAAGAACAAGUGCUAGAGUAACUGUUAGCGCCUUGACGGUAUCUAACCAGAAAGCCACGGCUAACUACGUG